GCAGGGGGCUCGGCCCAGAGAGGACAAUGAAACCAGACAGCAGCGUCAAACGGGACAGAUUAUCGUGGCCAGUCGCUUCAAUCGCGCCGUGCUAGACAACAUUGCAGUGCCUGACACGAAUGCAGAGGUUCGCACUUCCCACGUUCGCGAGCAACUGGAACAACAAAUGAAGGUCGAACUAUGAUGAGAUACAACUGGACCUUCAUUCUUCGUUGGUGAGUCAAAAUGGCGCUGCGAUAUGA